GCCCCACAGUGGGGAUUGAGCCCGCAACCCGGGUAUGUGCCCUGACCAGGAAUUGAACUGUGACCUCCUAGUUCAUAGAUCGAUGCUCAACCACUGAGCCACACUGGCCAAAGUAUCUACAUUUAAAGAGGCUAGUGUUCAUUUGCACUUACGAAUUCUGGUGUGUUCAUUUAAAAAUCAGUCUUAUAAUUUGAAACCUGGUUUGUAUACAUGUACAUAGAAUGUUGGGGGAGGUCUUAGCAAUCCAUUCUCACCUUUUUGCCAAUCGGGGUGAAAGUUCAGAUAAUUUUUUACUCAAAGUCAGAAUGAUACUUAUAAAGUUGAGAAGUAAGAUAAUUAUUUUUUUGCUACUCCACAUUGUCUCCAAGCUUCAAUGGUUUUAUAUCCAUUUACUUAGCAAAUAAUAUUGUCUAAUGGGAGACACUGUACCAGGUCCUGGCAAUACUCAGUCCCUGUUGAGAGGGGAUACAGGCAAGGAAGCUGGCAGUUACAACAGAGUGAACUAGGCGACACAGGAGCCUGUGGAACCAUGGAAGAGGCUGUAUUCUUUCUCACCUUCAACCACCCCAUCAUCCAAGCCAGAGAUGCUUGGCUGCAGAGCCAGAGCCUGCUUCAGGAAGGGAGCCUUAGCAUAUUUACCCUGACAUGUCUGAAUUGAGUGUGGCGGACAGGGAGAAAUCUAGCAAAGCUUGUUUGUCGGACUCCCCUCUGUGUCCCAUUGUUUCUGGCACAUUUGUUGCCCACAUGUUUGCUCUCUCUCAUCCACCAGUGAGUUGCCCACUUUCCCUCUGAAGUCCCAGACCCCUGCCCCCCUUCUUAGUCCAGAUGGCAUAGAAGACUCGACUGCCCAAUGCGACCUCGGGUCUCAUUCUUAGGAAACCCCUGCAUGUACAUAUGUAAUAAAUUUUAAACAUUUUCUGUU